rnacentral:rRNA from 1 species
UACGUAGGGGCAAGCGUUGUCCGGAUUUACUGGGCGUAAAGAGCGUGUAGGCGGCCAAGCAGGUCCGUUGUGAAACUGGAGGCUUAACCUCCAGACGUCGACGGAAACCGCGUGGCUAGAGUCCGGAAGAGGAGAGGUGGAAUUCCUGGUGUGAGCGGUGAAAUGCGCAGAUAUCAGGAAGAACACCAAUGGCGAAGGCAGCUCUCUGGGACGGUACUGGCGCUGAGCACGCGAAGCGUGGGAGCGAACAGG